rnacentral:rRNA from 1 species
GGGGGUUCUUCCUAGUACGAGAGGACCGGAAGGAGGCGACCUCUGGUCUACCUGCUGUUCCGCCAGGAGCACCGCAGGGCAGCUAUGUCGUUGAGUGAUAAGCGCUGAAAGCAUCUAAGCGCGAAGCAUGCCCCAAGAUUAGGAAUCGUUAUCAGAUCCCUCGAAGACUACGAGGUUGAUAGGCUCCAGGUGUAAGUGCCGCAAGGCAUUCAGCCGAGGAGUACUAAUAGAUCGAGCCGUCUUGU